GUGAAUAUUUAUACAUGUAAGACAGCUUUUAGGUUUACAAAACAGACUCAUUAGGUGGAUAUGCAUACAUUUGAUACGGGAUAUCAUUUAUGUAAAAGGAAACAACAUGACUGCAGACCAACACACACACAAACACACAAUAUCCUAGCAGAUGAAUCGCAACGGGUGCUAGUAUUGGUGUUGCGGGUGUUUUCUAAACAACAAAGAUGGAAAUCAUAUAGCGUGAAAUUCUCGACACUUUUGUUGCUCUAUAUUUGACUGAACUGAAUUAUGUUUUUUUUUUUUUUUUUUAUUGCUGAAAACAAGAACAUAGAAAUCAAUACAAAAUACAAAAUAUCAACAAAAAUGAAACUUGAAAAAGACAACAACAGCAAUAAUAAUACAACUGUAUAAAAAAUACAAUAAAUAAUAAUAAAAUAAAUAAAAUAAAGUCAAAUAAUAUGCAAUAAAGGGCCAUUGUUUUACAUAAGAUUCUCUACACAAAAACUUUAAGUGCAGAAAAAUUCGAACAGUCUUAAUUGCUUUCUUAUUAGUAGAUACUGAGAUCAAAUGGAUAUAAUUUUCCAUAUCUCUUAGAAAGACCACAAAGCAGGUUUACAGUUUGAAAAUUCGCAUUUGUGAAUGUAAAAUUUACUUAAGAAAAUAAUUAAAUUUAUAAUAAAACAAAUAUUUUCUUUAGUGGGGUCUGAGUCAAAGUACCCAAAUAUAAUAUUUCUCAUUUGUAAAGAAAAUUCUGGCAAAAUCUUCAACUUAACAAAAGCACGAAUAUCAUAUAGUAGGAUGGUUUUGUGUGACCGCCGCCCAUGUUCGCGUGACGUCAUAUACUCGGAGGCAUCCGCUACCGCAAUAGUUGGCGUUGUUUUGUUUUUGUUUUUUCUACUGAUGAACGCAGACAUCAUGAGACGUGGCAGUCAUCAUUGACCUUUUUAUGUAUGUUCAGUUGGUCAUGCUAGCAGGAGCUGCUUUUUCUGGGUGGUUUCAAAUCUUGCAGGGUAUUGCCCCUGUGAACAGAGAGCUGGGGGCUUCUUCUCUUUUCUGCUCUGAAGCUCCUAGACGAGCCUAGAACCUCUUAAUAGACUUAAUCUUCUCAGAUAUGUAAGAGCUAUAUGAUUGAUACAAUUGAUAGAUUUCUUAGAAUUAAACUAACUUAAUUUGAUUUGGAUUGAUUAAGAAUGACUUUUAUUGAGUUUGUGUUAUGCAGUUUAUUUGUGAAAUGAUAGGAUUGAACAUUCUUACUGAAACUUGAUUUUACUUUCUCAUUUUCAAGUUAUGAUUAAUUCUGUUAUUCAUUUACAUUGCUGAAACUAUUGCUGUAACUUCUCCAACCCAUCCAUCUGACGUGGAUUCGAUUUUGCAUCAAUAUCGUAUUAGAAAUGUGUGCUCUUUUGACCAGUAAACAACCACCCAUUUUUUCUACUAAAAUUUCAAAAACAAGUGGUUUGUAUCAUUUGUUGGAUAACACUCCUUCACUCAAACUCAUAUUUUGUUUCCUGAUCCUCAGGUAGCGAUUACUGAGCUACACUGUAAAAAAAAUCCGUAAAAAUACAGUACAAUAUACCCUUAUAAUUACAGGAAAUUUUCCGUUUUUGGUUUUUACAGGUGUUUUUCUGUAUUUUUGAAUUACGAUUUGCAUUGUGGGAACAAGAACGUUGAUGGCUUACAUAGGCGCCAAAACAGUGAAGAAAAGACGCGGAGAGUUUCUCGGUCAAAGUUUCAUUUUAAUGUCGGCUUUCGAAUUUGGGAAACAUGUUUUUCAUAUACUCUUCGUGGUAAACGAGUUAAAUGUCACAUAAAUUGUUUACGUAAGGUUAACUUAGUUGCUGUCUGGCUUGUUUGGCAAAUGAACGUCGGAGCCGUCGCACUCAACAUUUCUCUGCAUAUCGUCAGACAUCUUCCUCGUGGAGUUUUCUGCCAAAUGAGGUAAGUUUUGACCUUUUAUUGUCUGUUUUACACACACACGGAAGAUAAAAUGAAAACACAAACUAAUUCGGUAACGUUACUAGCAAGCUGUCUGUGAAGCGACUGUAAACAGGCGUCCGACGCGCGGUAGCAGCGCCAGAAUGCCGCUUCAGGACGUGAUUGCUGCUGUACUGUGAAUCUCAAGCACACCUGCAUUCUUAUCAUGGGUGAUGGGCAGUUCAAGAUUGCUGUCGUUCAAGAAGUUAAUGACCACUGUUGAGGUUGUGAGCUACAAAUACCCAGAAGAGGCAGCACUUACAUUGGAAUUCAUACAGAAAGUUUUCCUAUGAAGAAAUCCUAAAUGAGGGUUGAGAUGAAGGAAACCAAGUGAUGGGCAGUUCAAGAUUGCUGUCGUUUGAGAAGUUAAUGAACAAAUCAUCUUUCCUGUUGCGGUUGUGAGCUACAAAAUACCCAGAGGAGGCGGCACUUACUCUGGAGUUCAUACAGAAAAUUUUCCUGUGAAGAAAUCCUAAACGUGGUUUGAGAUGAAGGCAACCAAGUGGCUGUGCGUUCCUCCAAGACUCUUGCAUAAACAAUUUAAAAAAUCCAUGUAAUAUUUGAGUUUUUAAAUUGGAAAAAAUGGCACUUGCAUUAAACAUGCAGUUAAAUGGGAAAUAAUACAUCCCCUAUAAUGAAUUGCAUCACUUCGAUGAUAUUUCUGUUAUAAUGAACUUCAAAAUGCUGUUGUCAAGCCACUGGAGUCACAUACUUUAUACCUUUCUGGACCUUGAAAAUGGUAGUUGCAUAGACAGUCAAUAGAGGGACAGAAAGUACCCAGAUUUAACUAAAAAUACUCUUAAUUUGUGUUCUAAAAAUGAAUGAAAGUCUUAUGGGUUUGGAAUGGUAUGAGUAAUUGACUGAAUUAGCAUUUUUUUGUGUGAACUAUCCCUCUAAACAAUAUUGUUUUCUCUUAUAAGAAAAAAAGUUUUGAAUCUUGACUGUUUCUCAUUGUGACGUUUAAAUUUUGUGACCACUUUUUAGUACAACACCUGUAUUGUACAGAUGCUCAUGUUUUCUUUUUUCUUUUUUUAAAUUCUGUCCGUUACUGUUUAAAGCUAAACUGUCUUUUACAAUACAGCCAUUUUGCCUGAGUUGACACAUUGUUAAAUGAAUUGAGUAUUUGAUAUUGUUUAGUCCUAACCCACUUAAGGCAAACAAAAGCCAUUGAAUGCACUUUUAAGAAUGUUUACAUGAAGUAAAAAUAAACCAUCUUCAAAUUUG